UCAUUAGAUGACUGAAAGAAAGUAAUGGAAUUUUAAACCAUAUAAUAGUAAUUAACGCCUACUUCUAAU
rnacentral:tRNA from 1 species